rnacentral:rRNA from 1 species
CCCUUAGAUGUCCUGGGCCGCACGCGCGCUACACUGAGUGUCUGAGAUACGAGUCUGCCUGGUCCGGCAAGGUCUAGGUAAUCGCUAAAAGACACAUCAUGCUUGGGAUAGAUUAUUGCAAAUAUUAAUCUUGAACGAGGAAUUCCUAGUAAGCGCGAGUCAUCAGCUCGCGCUGAUUACGUCCCUGCCCUUUGUACACACCGCCCGUCGCUACUACAGAGUGCCCGUGUCCAAGAAACGGUCGGACCUGUGCGGCCUCUCCGGGCGACCGGAGGGCCGUUACGGGGAAGACCCUUUAUUUGACGCGGGUCGAUGAAGUAAAAGUCGUAACA